rnacentral:rRNA from 1 species
UACGUAGGGUGCAAGCGUUGUCCGGAAUUAUUGGGCGUAAAGAGCUCGUAGGCGGUCUGUCGCGUCGGCUGUGAAAACCCGGAGCUCAACUCCGGGCCUGCAGUCGAUACGGGCAGACUGGAGUUCGGCAGGGGAGACUGGAAUUCCUGGUGUAGCGGUGAAAUGCGCAGAUAUCAGGAGGAACACCGAUGGCGAAGGCAGGUCUCUGGGCCAUUACUGACACUGAGAAGCGAAAGCAUGGGGAGCGAACAGG